GCGGCCUCACUUGGAUGGAGAUGGGGUACUGAGCACCUGCCCCCACUCCCAGCGGGCGAGCGGAGGGCCUCCCGCCGCUCCCUCCGGGUGGACUAAAUGGUUACCAUUGUCAAGAAUGGAUCGAAGUUUCUGAUGGCAAGCUCAACAGUUAGACAUUAGGUAAUCAUUGGUCUGGCUGCGACACACAUACUCGAU